CCCUUAGAUGCUCUGGGCCGCACGCGCGCUACACUGGUCGAUGCAACGAGUUUCUUUCCUUGGCCGACAGGCCUGGGCAAUCUUUGAACAUCGAUCGUGAUCGGGAUAGAUUCUUGUAAUUUUUGAUCUUAAACGAGGAAUUCCUAGUAAACGCAAGUCAUCAGCUUGCAUUGAUUACGACCCUGCCCUUUGUACACACCGCCCGUCGCACCUACCGAUUGAAUGGUCCGGUGAAAUCUCCGGACUGGCGUGAGUCGGAGCAAUCUGAUAAACACCGGAAAGUUGAUUAAACCUUACCAUUUAGAGGAAGGUGAAGUCGUAACA
rnacentral:rRNA from 1 species